rnacentral:rRNA from 1 species
UACGGAGGGGGCGAGCGUUGUCCGAAGUUACUGGGCGUAAAGCGCGCGUAGGCGGGUUGGUAAGUCCGCUGUGAAAUCCCGGAGCUUAACUCCGGUAGGUCGGUGGAUACUGCCAGUCUUGAAGGUGCUAGGGAGAGAUGGAAUUACCGGUGUAGCGGUGAAAUGCGUAGAGAUCGGUAGGAACACCAGUGGCGAAGGCGGUCUCUUAGGGCAUUCUUGACGCUGAGGCGCGAAAGCUGGGGGAGCAAACGGG